UUUUUUUUGUUUUGUUUUUUUUUUUUGGCACAUCAAAUCACCCUCAGAAGCCCAGGUCCAGAGCCUGUGAAGGCACUGUAAUUUUAUAUUGAAUUAAAUCAACUUCAUCUUAAGCCCCAAGGGGAACAUUUUCAUUUUCAAAAAUGACAAUUAUGUGAGCGCGUCCUCUGGUGGGGGCACCAAUGGAAGGGAAGACAAAGCCUUUGGAAUAAACAAUCAUGCCUAAUUCCACAGUUUCCUAAAGCUCUUCCUAACAGUGCAAGGCAAAGCCAGGCCACUGGGCUCUUUGGAGAUAAUAAUUCACUUAAAGAUACUAAAACUUUGGAGUGUAGCACAGAUUCAUAUUCUCAAAACAAUGGCUGGUGAGACUCAGUGUCAAAGGCUUUCUCAAGCUUUUAUCACAUUUAGCCAUUAUCAUUUUUCAAAUCUAAAGUGGCAGAACUGCCAGGACUGCUGACACAACUUCUCCAUCCAAACCAAACCAAGACCAGUAUUUCUGCUAGCAUUGAUAUCAUCACUGGAAUGGAAGAUACAGCAGUCACAGCAUAGCUUAUCUUGCACAGCAGGGUGUUUACAGACUCUCCACUUGCCUUAUUCUAUUAGCUUGUGCAAACCUGCAAGACAACUCCUAAAAUGGACCGUGCUCUCCACAAUUUAGGAGUCAGCACUUUGCUUCUGUUCUCAUUUGAUCUUCCCUUCCUCUUCUACUGAUCAGAAUACAAUUCCAGUUCUCAGAGGAAUCCGUUACCCCACUACUGCUAGGGAAAAAAAAGUUGUCUUCCCUUUGUCUCUUGGCAGCAGCUGGCAUGUUCCAAAUAGAAUAAGGGGGUUGAUUUAUUAUACUAUAAGACAGUGAUUUUUUACAUACUUCAUCUAAAUAAAACAAGCAUGCUGUUUAAGGGAACAUUUGUACUUCUGUUGCAAUUUCAGAGCUGCAUUUAUUAUUCAUAAAAGAAAGGAUACAAGCAAUGUCAUAUUACUAAUAUUGCAGAUUAUUUUCUCUUUGAGUCCUUAAUAGGUACGAAAUCAUGUUUAAAGUGUUAGUUUAAAGUGCAUAAUCAAUCAUUUCUUAAAAAUUUGUCACACAGACAAGACCUUGUAAAGACUGCAGCAAGGUCUUAUUUCUUCGUGCAACCAACAUUAUGUGGCCCAGAUUUUUGGCAUGAGUCCUGAGGCACAGUAAAAACAUAUAAUAUUAUUAUUCAUUUCUACAGUUUUCAUCUCUCCUCUUCCUAUCUAGUCUAACAUUCAAAGCCACGGUAGAGCCAGGCAGUUGUGAUGACUUGGUUUUCACAUUGAUCCACUGAUGGCUCCAAAAAAAAAAAGAAAAAAA
rnacentral:lncRNA from 1 species